ensembl:miRNA mir18a microRNA 18a
CAUACGAUGUACUGUCUUUGUGCUAAGGUGCAUCUAGUGCAGAUAGUGAAAUAGACUAGCACCUACUGCCCUAAGUGCUCCUUCUGGCAUAAGGGGCUGUAAUAUG